GUCACAGAAGCCGCAGCAUCACAGCCGCCAGCGCCCAUCAUCGCCAGCGCCCCUCCACCCGGCUAACCAAAGAGCGCACUGGAGGCGGAGGGGCAGCAGCCACCAGCCCGCUCCCCGCCCCCCGGACAGAGCCUCCGUCAGCAUGGGGGUGACAGGUGUCAAUGCAUUCCCAUGCUGUGGCAAAAAUUCUGUGGACAUCGUGGAAAGAACGAGUGACCACCACCAUCAGCCCCACACCCCUAAAGAAAAGGAGGAGGACGAAACAGAGCUGGAAGAACAGUUGCCCAAGAAGGAGUCCCUACCCGAAGUGCUCCCAGAUCCAGGCCCAGUACCACAGCUGGAGGAGAUGGGACCAGUGGUAGACUCUAAGCCCACACCUGAGCCUGAGGGAGACUACUUCACUGAAAGCCUGGAGCAGAAAGGCUACAGGAUCGAAUCUCUCAAGCCCUAUGAGGAAGAACGGCAUUCCAGAACCUGGAGCUUCAAUGCAAACUCAAGCAACAGGGAAGAGGAGCAGGUGUCCACCACCCAGUUCCGCUCCAUCCGCGUGCAGACCUCCAAACACCUCUUCUGGGCGAACAAGCUCAUCCAGGCGUCGGAGCACAGCCUCCAGCAGGCCUUGGAAAAACAUCGCAAGAGCCCCCGGGAAAGGAAGUCUGUCUGCAUCUCCCAGGUUCUCACAGACUGCGCCCCGCGACCACCAAGCCCCUGUCUAUCUUGCUCCAGCCUGCCCACAGCCAUUGGCCUGGCAGAUCUGAUCAACUUUGCGUCCUCUCUGGCUGUAGCCUCCUCCAGCCACAAGGAAGUACCUAAUUUAGAAAAUAUGAUCAAAGCUACAUCCGAGAAGUUGCAAGAGACACCUAUAGACCUUUGCCAGCCAGUCCAGUCCAUCAAGUUUGCCCAGGCUACCCAGAUCACCCAGAUAACCUCCGAGAAGCAAGAGAAGUCAUUUGAAGACAUGACAACUCAGAAAUCUUGGACUCCAGAAACCAGUAAUGUAGCUUGCUCUUACCUAGAUUUUAGCAAGACAGGGCUCAAGAAUGCCACCAUCCAAGGGGAAGUGAAGUUUGUCCAGGCACCAGCCAAGUCCUCCCAGCUUCAGGAAGCCAAUGAGCAGCAGAGGCCAGAAGACCAAGAGACCCUCAUCGACACUGAGAAGGCCUCCACAGAAGCCUCGGAGUCUCCUCACACGAGAGGAGCCGGCUGGCAGGGUGCAGAAAGGGAGGCUGCAGCUGCAGACGGGCCAGCUGCCUCAGUCAGAGCUAGCAGCCAUGGCCACAAAGGAGGAGCAGACCAUACUGAGGGCAAGAGAAUUUAAGGACCCUGAAGCUACCCAUCCAUAUUGGCCAGGCCCAGACACCAAGUCUCAGAGUUCGGCCGAUGAUAGCAUGGUACCCCUGACACCCCGGCAGCUGGCAGCCUUCCAGGAUAUCUUCAAACUGUUCAGCUGCAGCCCCACGGGCACCGUGGACAUGCAUAGCAUGAAGGUUGCCCUGCGCAAUGUGGGUAUCCAG